GGGGAAAAACAACACUGAAAAAACUGUAGACAAACAGAAUGGCUUACGUCUGCGGGGAGGGAUCUUCUAACCAGGUACGACCCAGUGGGUGUUAGUGCUCGAUAUAAAACAAAUAGCAUGGUGGAACUAACUCCAAACUGGUUAUUUCUGUUUGUAAUCACUGUUGAACUUUGCACGACAAAUGACUAUUUGGUGCUUUAAAAUAGUUGCUCGUGGAUGAGGACCAGCAGGAUCCACCAGUCAAACCAUUUCAAACUGUGCAGUUUAGUUGAACGUCACUGUCUCAUACCUAAAGACAGAAUUCUGCAGAUUCUCUGAAGACUAUUAAUGUAGUGAACAAUGGAAACUGCUAUAAAGGCUUCCUGUUCUACAGUGAGGAUGAGUGAAGAUGUUUGUACUCCGCAAUUAUAUCAAUUUUACAACGUAACACAUACACAAAGUAAUUUAUGUUUGUUUAGGUUGAGCAUGACUAUACUUUGAACGCAUUUAUAGAAAAAACAAAAAACAAAAGACAGUGUGACUUAGCUGGAGUUGGAAAACAUCCGCUGCGCUGUUACAUGGGGCAAUUAGUGGGAAUAACAGUUGCCCGUGACAUUUCUGUACCACACCUAAGGCGUGUUUUAGUGAAAUAAACAUUUUUUUGUUUGAUAAAACAAAACAUGUCAGAAAAACCAAACAGAAUAAAUGCUUUUUUUAUAUAUAUAAUUCUCCAUUGUGUAAACUGUGGAAUUUUAUUAAUGGGAAAGGACAUUUCAAACAUCAAAUAUGUUUGGACUAAGCCUGAAAAACCAGCUGUAAAUACAAUCGUCAUUAUCACCUCGGUGUGUCAAUAAACCCAUGGCCAGAAUGAAGCAGCAACAGCGGUUCUUCUAUCGAACAUCACGGAUCAGUGUCACAUUACGGUGGAGUAAUUUAAUACAGCCUUAGUGAGAAAGGUACAACAGAGGGGGAGAAAAACAAACUCCACCCACAGCUUAAGUCUUAAAACUGGGUAAACUCUGGUUAGGGAACAAUAGCACCAACAACUGAAAAACAAACUAAACAUCUUAAUUAUAGCCACCAGAGGGCACCACGUAAGAAUACUGCGACCUACAGUAAAGAGUGUAAAAACAUAAAAAAUAACAGCAACGGCUUUUUCUUUCUUUCUUUUUUUUUUUU